GGCGCUAUAGCCAAGUGGUUACGGCGACAGAUUCGAAUCUCGCAAAAGCCGAUAAUUAUAAUCUGUUCCUCUUUGAGGGCGCAGGUUCAAAUCCUGCUGGCGUCG